rnacentral:rRNA from 1 species
CUCGUAGGUGGUUUGUCGCGUUGUUCGUGAAAACUCACAGCUCAACUGUGGGCGUGCGGGCGAUACGGGCAGACUAGAGUACUGCAGGGGAGACUGGAAUUCCUGGUGUAGCGGUGGAAUGCGCAGAUAUCAGGAGGAACACCGGUGGCGAAGGCGGGUCUCUGGGCAGUAACUGACGCUGAGGAGCGAAAGCGUGGGGAGCGAACA